UUUUUUUUUUUUUAUAGUUUGCAGAGCAAUGCUGAUUUGUUGUUUGGAGGAAUUACAAUUGUGGGGGUAGUAGCCAUGUGAAUUUAUCCUAGAUCGCAUGAAAUCCACUAUCCCUAAUGCUUUUAAGGAAACAGGUAAGCUGCCUUGGGAAGUAUAGUGUGAGGGUGUAGAGCCAGAGUAAUAGCCGAUCAUCACUCGAUUCGCAAGUUUAGAUGAACUUAAACGGGAAUUGCCAAGACAAGCUGACACGAUUGAUAGGUUCAUGAAAAUUCAGGAUAGAUGCUGAUUAAGAGUUACUUUAAUUGGGUUUUCUAUUAUUGUUGCACGACGGAGGGUUUUGUUUUAUCAACGGAUUUGACCCGAUAAACAAAACAAUCUGAUAAAAGACUAAAGAUAACCAGAUUGACCAGCAGAUCUUGAAGGGGUAACUGCCACUUUUGUUGGGUUGUUGAUUAAUCACCGCAUCCAAAUAACUAUAAGGCAAAAUUUUCACUGCAAAUACUCUGCCACAACUGCAAGAAUGUCCUGCUAGAUGGGGAUGGUUGUAAGCCCUUUGGUUCUUCCACACCUCCAUCGAUCCCAGCUAAAGACAAGGGGGUGCUACCUAUACCGACACAAGUUAAGCGCGUUGAAGCGAU